GAAGAUUGGAUAAGGUUGAUAUAGACGUUUUACAGAACCAGUCAAACACUGUUCAGUUUUGAACCACAGUGGGGUUGAGUGUUUUCAGGUCAAAUCCUUGGGGGUAAAAUGUAGUUAUCCCCAAACUUUUGGGUACAUUACAAAUUACCUCUGAGGCAUGGUACUUUAAAAAUUAUGUCGUUUCCCUACCGGGAACGUCUUGCAUGGUGUUUCGAAUUAUGUACCUAGUAUUCUAAAAUGCGUGCCUAUUUUGUUUCUUUAAUUUUUUCCGUAUCCUAGCCUUGUUCUUUGAUGGAGAAGAAUGGUUAUCCCGAAAUAGAGCACCUCCCAGGCUGACUAUACUUAGCUGGUACCAUGUCUCAAGAGUGAGGGCUUUGGAAGCAUAUCCGGCUUGUUUGGAGAAUUUACGACUCAUGUCAAUUUCAAGGUGAGAAGGAGCGAUAGUUGAAGUUUUGGUGUCAUAAAAUGCUGUAGAAACAGAGUAUAGAUCAUAGAGUGGUAAAGAAUGGGUUUGCAUUGUCUUUAGAGCAAGAAAGCGGGUUGGUAUUGUUUUUAGAGUGGGAAAAAAGAUGGACAGUGGCACAUAGAUGAAGAUUGGAUAAGGUUGAUAUAGACGUUUUACAGAACCAGUCAAACACUGUUCAGUUUUGAACCACAGUGGGGUUGAGGUGUUUUUCAAAGGGUCAAAUCCUUGGGUAAAAUGUAGUUAUCCCCAAACUUUUGGGUACAUUACAAUUACUCUGAGGCAUGGUACUUUAAAAAUUAUGUCGUUUCCCACCCGGAACGCUGCUGGUGUUAUUCGAAUUAUGUACCUAGUAUGCUAAAUGGGCGUGCCUAUUUUUUUCUUUAAUUUUUUCCGUAUCCUCAGCCUUGUUCUUUUGAUGAGAGAAUGGGUUACAUCCCGAAAUAGAGCACAUAACCAGGCUGUCUAUACUUAGCUGUACCACUACUUCUCAAAGAGUGAGGGCUUUUUGAGAAGCAUAUCACGGCUUAGUUUGAGAGAAUUUAACGACUCAUAGGUCAAUUUCAAGGUGAUAAUGAGCGAUAGUGCAAAAAAUUUAUGGUGUUCAUAACUGCUGUAAAACAGAGUAUAGAUCAUAGAGUGGUAAAGAAUGGCUGGUUUGCAUUGUCUUUAGAGCAAGAAAGCCGGGUUUGGUAUUGUUUUUUUAGAGUGGGAAAAAAAUGGACAGUGGCACAUAGAUGAGAUUGGAUAAGGUUGAUAUAUACGCUUUUAACAACCAGUCCAAACACUGUUCAGUUUUGAACCACAUUGGGUUUGAUGUUUUCAGGGCAAAUCCUGGGGUAAAUGUGUUUCCCAAACUUUUGGGUACAUUACAAUUACUCUGAGGCAUGGUACUUUAAAAAUUAUGUCGUUUCCCACCCGGAACGCUGCUGGUGUUAUUCGAAUUAUGUACCUAGUAUGCUAAAUGGGCGUGCCUAUUUUUUUCUUUAAUUUUUUCCGUAUCCUCAGCCUUGUUCUUUUGAUGAGAGAAUGGGUUACAUCCCGAAAUAGAGCACAUAACCAGGCUGUCUAUACUUAGCUGUACCACUACUUCUCAAAGAGUGAGGGCUUUUUGAGAAGCAUAUCACGGCUUAGUUUGAGAGAAUUUAACGACUCAUAGGUCAAUUUCAAGGUGAUAAUGAGCGAUAGUGCAAAAAAUUUAUGGUGUUCAUAACUGCUGUAAAACAGAGUAUAGAUCAUAGAGUGGUAAAGAAUGGCUGGUUUGCAUUGUCUUUAGAGCAAGAAAGCGGGUUGGUAUUGUUUUUUUAGAGUGGGAAAAAAGAUGGACCUGGCACAUAGAUAAGAUGGUCAGGUUUGAUAUAGACGUUUUACAGAACAGUCCACAGGUUUCAGUUUUGAACCACAGUGGGGUUGAGUGUUUUCAGGUCAAAUCCUUGG
rnacentral:lncRNA from 1 species